UGCGUAGGCGGAUUAAUAAGUCAGUGGUGAAAUCUUUCGGCUCAACCGAGAAACUGCCAUUGAUACUGUUAAUCUUGAGUUCGGUUGAGGUAGGCGGAAUGUGUAAUGUAGCGGUGAAAUGCUUAGAUAUUACACAGAACACCAAUUGCGUAGGCAGCUUACUAGACCGACACUGGCGCUGAGGCACGAAAGCGUGGGGAGCGAACAGGAUUAGAUACCCUGGUAGUCC
rnacentral:rRNA from 1 species